UAAGUGAUGACGAAGGUAUGCCUCUCCUUGCAGACUUCAUUUGGAGCACUUCAUACAGCAUCCUGCACAUCCCUGUCAAUCCUGUACCACUUAGAGUGCAUCCUACACUCAAACGAUGCUUUCACAAAAACAAGAAGGAGCAUGGUACUUCAUCACAGCCACAGUGUGUUGAUCGAUCUCAACGCUCAGCAACAUCCUAUCGGCCCUUUCCAGCUGUUAAAAUGAAGUAUGUUGACCAUGACCAAUGGACACAUCUGGUGCCUACUGUUCCAGAUGUGAGGAUGCAGGUUCGGGACCGGCGUCAUUGUAUACGUCAGCAUGCUGCCACAGGACUGUUUGUUGACAUACAGCAAGUACGUUUCUGUUGAUGUAUACACUUUGUUGAACUGUUCAAUUACGU